rnacentral:sRNA from 1 species
UUGGCGAGUCUGAAUAUAGCCGCAGGUGA